rnacentral:rRNA from 1 species
CCUACGGGCGGCAGCAGUGAGGAAUAUUGGUCAAUGGACGAGAGUCUGAACCAGCCAAGUAGCGUGAAGGAUGACUGCCCUAUGGGUUGUAAACUUCUUUUGUACAAGGGUAAACCUGAAUACGUGUAUUCAGCUAAAAGUACUGUACGAAUAAGGAUCGGCUAACUCCGUGCCAGCAGCCGCGGUAAUACGGAGGAUCCAAGCGUUAUCCGGAUUUAUUGGGUUUAAAGGGUGCGUAGGCGGAUUGAUAAGUUAGAGGUGAAAUGUCCGAGCUUAACUCGGGAACUGCCUCUAAUACUGUUGAUCUAGAGAGUAGAUGCGGUAGGCGGAAUGUAUGGUGUAGCGGUGAAAUGCUUAGAGAUCAUACAGAACACCGAUUGCGAAGGCAGCUUACCAAUCUAUAUCUGACGUUGAGGCACGAAAGCGUGGGGAGCAAACAGGAUUAGAUACCCUUGUAGUC